GUAAACGGCGGCCGUAACUAUAACGGUCCUAAGGUAGCGAAAUUCCUUGUCGGGUAAGUUCCGACCUGCACGAAUGGCGUAAUGAUGGCCAGGCUGUCUCCACCCGAGACUCAGUGAAAUUGAACUCGCUGUGAAGAUGCAGUGUACCCGCGGCAAGACGGAAAGACCCCGUGAACCUUUACUAUAGCUUGACACUGAACAUUGAGCCUUGAUGUGUAGGAUAGGUGGGAGGCUUUGAAGCGUGGACGCCAGUCUGCGUGGAGCCAACCUUGAAAUACCACCCUUUAAUGUUUGAUGUUCUAACGUUGGCCCCUGACCGGGGUUGCGGACAGUGUCUGGUGGGUAGUUUGACUGGGGCGGUCUCCUCCCAAAGCGUAACGGAGGAGCACGAAGGUUAGCUAAUCCUGGUCGGACAUCAGGAGGUUAGUGCAAUGGCAUAAGCUAGCUUGACUGCGAGCGUGACGGCGCGAGCAGGUGCGAAAGCAGGUCAUAGUGAUCCGGUGGUUCUGAAUGGAAGGGCCAUCGCUCAACGGAUAAAAGGUACUCCGGGGAUAACAGGCUGAUACCGCCCAAGAGUUCAUAUCGACGGCGGUGUUUGGCACCUCGAUGUCGGCUCAUCACAUCCUGGGGCUGAAGUAGGUCCCAAGGGUAUGGCUGUUCGCCAUUUAAAGUGGUACGCGAGCUGGGUUUAGAACGUCGUGAGACAGUUCGGUCCCUAUCUGCCGUGGGCGCUGGAGAAUUGAGGGGGGCUGCUCCUAGUACGAGAGGACCGGAGUGGACGCAUCACUGGUGUUCGGGUUGUCAUGCCAAUGGCACUGCCCGGUAGCUAAAUGCGGAAGAGAUAAGUGCUGAAAGCAUCUAAGCACGAAACUUGCCCCGAGAUGAGUUCUCCCUGAGACU
rnacentral:rRNA from 1 species